rnacentral:rRNA from 1 species
UACGGAGGGUGCAAGCGUUAUCCGGAAUCACUGGGUUUAAAGGGUGCGUAGGCGGUGGUGUAAGUCAGUUGUGAAAUGCCCCGGCUUAACCGGCGGAACUGCGAUUGAUACUGCAUCACUUGAAUCAGGAUGAGGUAGGCGGAAUGUGGCAUGUAGCGGGGAAAUGCUUAGAUAUGCCAUAGAACACCGAUUGCGAAGGCAGCUUGCUGGGCCUGAAUUGACGCUGUGGCGCGAUAGCGUGUGGAGCAAACAGG